UACGUAGGGUGCAAGCGUUUGUCCGGAAUUAUUGGGCGUAAAGAGCUCGUAGGCGGUCUGUCGCGUCGGCUGUGAAAACUCGGGGCUCAACCCCGAGCCUGCAGUCGAUACGGGCAGACUAGAGUGCUGUAGGGGAGACUGGAAUUCCUGGUGUAAGCGGUGAAAUGCGCAGAUAUCAGGAGGAACACCGGUGGCGAAGCGGUGGUCUGGGCCGGCACUGACGCUGAGGAGCGAAAGCGUGGGUAGCAAACAGG
rnacentral:rRNA from 1 species